GGGUUGGCCAACCCGAUCGGGUC
rnacentral:miRNA from 1 species